rnacentral:tRNA from 1 species
GGAGGGAUUCCCGAGUGGCCAAAGGGGGCAGGCUGUAAACCUGCUGCGGUAUCGCUUCGGAGGUUCGAAUCCUCCUCCCUCCA